rnacentral:rRNA from 1 species
CAGUAGCCGCGGUAAUACGUAUGUCACAAGCGUUAUCCGGAUUUAUUGGGCGUAAAGCGCGUCUAGGUGGUUAUGUAAGUCUGAUGUGAAAAUGCAGGGCUCAACUCUGUAUUGCAUUGGAAACUGUGUAACUAGAGUCCUGGAGGGGUAAGCGGAGCUACAAGUGUAGAGGUGAAAUUCGUAGAUAUUUGUAGGAAUGCCGAUGGGGAAGCCAGCUUACUGGACAGAUACUGACGCUAAAGCGCGAAAGCGUGGGUAGCAAACAGGAUUAGAUACCCCAGUAGUCCCUGUCUCUUAUACA